UACGUAGGCAGCAAGCGUUGUUCGGAGUUACUGGGCGUAAAGGGUGUGUAGGCGGUUCUUUAAGUUUGGUGUGAAAUCUCCCGGCUCAACUGGGAGGGUGCGCCGAAUACUGAGGGACUAGAGUACGGGAGAGGAAAGUGGAAUUCCUGGUGUAGCGGUGAAAUGCGUAGAUAUCAGGAAGAACACCCGUGGCGAAGGCGGCUCUCUGGGACGGUACUGACGCUGAGACGCGAAAGCUAGGGGAGCGAACGGG
rnacentral:rRNA from 1 species